AUUGAACGCUGGCGGCAGGCUUAACACAUGCAAGUCUAGCGAGCGGCGGACGGGUGAGUAAUGUUUGGGAAACUGCCUGAUGGAGGGGGAUAACUACUGGAAACGGUAGCUAAUACCGCAUACCAUCAGAUGUGCCCAGAUGGGAUUAGCUAGUAGGUGGGGUAAUGGCACACCUAGGCGACGAUCCCUAGCUGGUCUGAGAGGAUGACCAGCCACACUGGAAAUGAAGAACGGUCCAGACUCCGACGGGAGGCAGCAGUGGGGAAUAUUGCACAAAGGGCGCAAGCCUGAUGCAGCCAUGCCGCGUGUGGAGAGAAGGCCUUCGGGUUGUAAAGCACUUUCAGCGAGGAGGCGUAGCUCGCAAAAGAAACACCGGCUAACUCCGGGCCAGCCGCCGCGGUAAUAC
rnacentral:rRNA from 1 species